CUUAUUAUCGUUCUAUUUUUUAGUUAAAUUCCAGUCACACGCUUUGUCUUUGUUCUGUUUUUUAGCUCCUGUAUUUCAGGGAUGACAUCACCUCAGGGUGUGUUUCUCUUCUUUGAGGAUGACCUGCGGGUUUGAUCUCCCUGGAUCAGCCACAUACUGUUUGACAUCAUGUGACACCUGCUGAACCACUGACACACUGAAACAGACAGAGCAGUUUUUCAUGAUGUUAGCUGUUGGGACGGCUUUGAUGCAGGAAUGGUGGGCUGUCGCUGGGAGUUUGGAGUGUGUUCGGUGACGAGGAACAUAACAGAGUUAUUUCUAUAGACAGGACAGUGAGGAGAAGCCUGAGGAAUGAACACGCAAACAGAGACACAUCGAGUGCUGCAGGGACGUCCGUCCCCAGACGCUCCAAAUGGACACAGUAAGGAAGAGGUCACGUCUAUAUUUGGCAAGGUCAUCAAAGAGCCUGGAGGUCACCUGUCCUUGACCCCUCUGCUUUGUGUGCUCGACUUUCUGGAAGUUUCUCUGAUUUCCCGUGCCGUGCGGUUCAUCGAACCCCUCAGAGGGUCUUUCACCUGUCUCCUAACAGCUCCCAGAAUGCAACACUGCGCAGAACAACACAAGCCUGGCAAUUAGAGAAAUGGAAACUGGAGUGCUCUUCCGAGAGGGGAAAUAAUUGGAUGUUAGAGCGCGUAUGUGUGGACUGUCUUGAUUUACUUUUCUCAUAGCAAUUACCGUCGUCGAAUAAAAUGCAGCAAUUUCAGCAUUAUUGGAAUCGUUACCUUUACGCCCCUGUAGUUUAUUACAGACUUUCUUAUUUGGACACUGCGGAUGAAUGAAAGUAAGCGGCCAGUGGCUCAAAAUGGGAUUUCUUUGCUAAGAUAAACGUUCUUGCUGCUUUAACGCCAGUUUCCGCGCUCUCCUUUUGUCAAACUUCCAAUAGACGGCCACAUUCCCAUUGUGAGCACACCUGUUUCGUUUGCGCAAACAUGAAUCAAACAGGCUCAAGGAAACACACACACAAAAAGACAAGGACAAAAGUCAGAGGAUGUGGAAAACAAGCAUACAGUAUGUCAUGAUAUAGACGAUUGAGCACACACUUACUUGUUGAUGGAGGGCAGCAGACUCUGGAUUUAGAAGAAAACCUUUAUCGAGUCCCAUCGCCUUUGAAACGGAUGACAUCGAUCGCGUAGCCAGAAGAUUGUGACCCCUCCUGCCCUGGAGGACGAUCAAUGGACCCGCGCUUCACUUCUCCAACAUCAGCAGAGGAUUAAACAAUCUCCCGGAACAACACAAUUAACUCCGAUUUACCUGACAUCAAUAUCUAGAUGCUGGUCGAUGGAGCGUGAGAGAAAGGCAACAUCAAAACCGUGUGUGUGUGUGCGUAUGUUCACCUGGUGUUGCUCUCGCUUGACUGACUCUGGAAAUCGAUGGACUUCAGGAGUUACAGUGUUACUGACUGCAGUUCUACCAGUACACUCCAGUUCACAGACAGGACGUAUUAUUCCUGAAUCAAAGCAUGGAAAGAACGAAACCCACCACACAGAUCAGAGGGCUGUGUUCCCCAGGACAGAGAGGGGUCUUCUGGGUACCGGCUGAACUGACAACCCCUGGAGCAGCUACACGGCUCUUUGCACAAAUUGAACUGACAGCAGCUUUUUCCACAGAACGUAUAAAGCAAAGAACUGUUUUAUGUCC